UACAGAGGGGGCAAGCGUUGUUCGGAAUUACUGGGCGUAAAGGGCGCGUAGGCGCCUGCUAAGUCGAACGUGAAAUCCCCCGGGCUCAACCCCGGGAACUGCGUCCGAUACUGGCUGGGCUUGAAUCCGGGAGAGGGAUGUGGAAUUCCAGGUGUAGCGGUGAAAAUGCGUAGAUAUCUGGAGGAACACCGGUGGCGAAGGCGGCAUCCUGGACCGGUAUUGACGCUGAGGCGCGAAAAGCUAGGGGGAGCAAACGGGGAUUAAGAUACCCC
rnacentral:rRNA from 1 species